rnacentral:rRNA from 1 species
GACGAACGCUGGCGGCGUGCUUAACACAUGCAAGUCGAACGGAAAGGCCCUGCUUUUGUGGGGUGCUCGAGUGGCGAACGGGUGAGUAACACGUGAGUAACCUGCCCUUGACUUUGGGAUAACUUCAGGAAACUGGGGCUAAUACCGGAUAGGAGCUCCUGCUGCAUGGUGGGGGUUGGAAAGUUUCGGCGGUUGGGGAUGGACUCGCGGCUUAUCAGCUUGUUGGUGGGGUAGUGGCUUACCAAGGCUUUGACGGGUAGCCGGCCUGAGAGGGUGACCGGCCAAAUUGGGACUGAGAUACGGCCCAGACUCCUACGGGAGGCAGCAGUGGGGAAUAUUGCACAAUGGGCGGAAGCCUGAUGCAGCAACGCCGCGUGCGGGAUGACGGCCUUCGGGUUGUAAACCGCUUUCACCUGUGACGAAGCGUGAGUGACGGUAAUGGGUAAAGAAGCACCGGCUAACUACGUG